UACAGAGGUCUCAAGCGUUGUUCGGAUUCAUUGGGCGUAAAGGGUGUGUAGGUGGCGCGCUAAGUCGGGUGUGAAAUUUCGGAGCUUAACUCCGAAACUGCAUUCGAUACUGGCGUGCUUGAGGACUGGAGAGGAGACUGGAAUUUACGGUGUAGCAGUGAAAUGCGUAGAUAUCGUAAGGAACGCCAAUGGUGAAAACAGGUUGCUGGGAGUGCGCUGACGCUGAGACACGAAAGCCAGGGGAGCGAACGGG
rnacentral:rRNA from 1 species